rnacentral:rRNA from 1 species
AUGAUACCCCAACCUGAGAACUGCAAGCUCAUGAAUCCUAGCUCAAAUAUGUCUUCCAUGGAGGAGCCUCUGCUGCCUCUAUUCCAGCGUAAUCAGAAGUACUCUUCCUCCAAGCAAGACAGAAGCAAAUCAUGCGAUGUCCCAAACAGGUGUGCACCUUCCUUUCAUCCAGACACUAAUGUCAAAGCUAGCCUCAGUACUCGCAAUCAUCCUCCAGCCACUAAUGAAAACACCGAUAUAGUAUCCACGCCGACUUUACAGCGGGUGCGUUCUUCACCUUCUAUAUUCACAUCAAUCAAAGAAGCUCCCUGUGCACAUGAGCUUGGCAAGCAAAGCCCUUCUGCACAAUACACACCAUCAAUUACAAGGCAGGCUAUUGUUAGUGUCAUCCUAUACAUCUCAAUAGGAGUCACGGUGUACAUGACAAAUGUUGAAGGCUUCAAGGGGAAAUCCACGUUUAAGUUAGUGGAUGCCCUGUACUUCACCAUCAUAAGCUUGUGCACCAUUGGGUAUGGUGACAUAGUCCCUUGCACUACCUUCACAAAGGUGUUCACAUGCUUGUUUCUACUAAUAGGUGUUCGCUUUGUUGACAUUAUGCUAAAUGGACUGUUGACAAAUGUGCUAGACAAGCAGAGAACAGUCCUACUUAGCACAAUGGAUGACAAUAAGCUGAACAGGGUAUUUGACACGUACAUGAUCGAUGCUGCAAAGAAAAGGUCAAGAGGGAAGAUGAAAGUACUACUUGCACUAGGCGUUGUUGCAGGGACUAUCUCAAUUUGUACAAUCAUAGUACAUGAGGUGGAGGGCCUAAAUUGGAUUGACAGCUUCUAUUUAUCAGUCAUUUCUGUGACAACAGUUGGAUAUGGGGAUUAUGGCUUCUCAACUACAGCUGGAAGGCUCUCCGCGACCGUGUGUCUGUUGGUGAGCACGUUGGCAGUUGGCAAGGCAUUCUUGUUCCUAACGGAUCUAAGGAUGGACAGAAGGAACCGACGAACUACAAAAUGGAUCCUCCAGAAGAAAAUGGACAAUGAGCCACCUGCUGCAGACCUUGAUAACGAUGCAGCUGUAAGCAAAUCAGACUUUAUGAUCUACAAGCUGAAAGAGAUGGGGAAGAUCGAUGAGAAAGAUGUCACGAUGAUCUCAGACCAGUUUGAUCAGCUAGGCCUUGCAAAAUGUGGAAAUGUUGCUCUUGCUGACAUAAUUGGAAACUUAUGA